UGUUAGAAAUAACGGUGUAUUUUUCUCAUUACCCAAAGAUAAUAAUUUUUUAUUUUAUAUUUUCCGAAACAUCGAGCAUCGAGGAGAGCUACCUAUGUUACUCCCACAGAUCGCGAAGACAGGAUGUAGAUCAUAAAUGAAAUCGGAUGUGACGAAAUUUAGUGUGAUUUCCGAGGAGAGGUUUUAUGAAUUGUUGAAAAGACAGGAAAGGAAGGAAUCGUGUUUGUUAGGCAUUUUGACGUGGGAAAAGCGUCCUGGAAUUAAUUCAGCGAAUACUUCACUUUAUACCCCGAAAAAACGAUGGAAAAUUCGCAGCUCCAGAAAAUCUCUACCCUGCGUUAAGGAAUCGAGACUUACGAGUGCAUCUGUAUGAUUGUUUAUUAGAAUACCG
rnacentral:misc_RNA from 1 species